AUUGAACGCUGGCGGCAUGCCUUACACAUGCCAGUCGAACGGUAACAGGUCUUCGGACGCUGACGAGUGGCGAACGGGUGCGUAAUGCAUCGGAACGUGCCCAGUCGUGGGGGAUAACUGCUCGAAAGAGCAGCUAAUACCGCAUACGACCUGAGGGUGAAAGCGGGGGACCGUAAGGCCUCGCGCGAUUGGAGCGGCCGAUGUCAGAUUAGCUAGUUGGUGGGGUAAAGGCCUACCAAGGCAACGAUCUGUAGUUGGUCUGAGAGGACGACCAGCCACACUGGGACUGAGACACGGCCCAGACUCCUACGGGAGGCAGCAGUGGGGAAUUUUGGACAAUGGGCGCAAGCCUGAUCCAGCAAUGCCGCGUGCAGGAAGAAGGCCUUCGGGUUGUAAACUGCUUUUGUCAGGGAAGAAAUCUUCUGGGCUAAUACCCCGGGAGGAUGACGGUACCUGAAGAAUAAGCACCGGCUAACUACGUG
rnacentral:rRNA from 1 species